ACGGUUCAAUAUUUACACAAUGGGGUCAAAAGCUUAAGUAGAGAAGACCAGUUACCUACUCUAAGUGUUCUUGGAGUGAAUAAAUCCUCAUGGAUUCUUUCGUUGAUCCUCUGCUCCUGACUUUUGUACCCUUCUCUUCUUUUCCUUGCACUAUUUGAUUUUAUGCUUUUUUUUAUCGUUGAGUAAUUGUUUACGUCGUAAAAAUAGGAUUAGUGUGAGGGUCUGGCUCACCUUGCUCAGAGCUUCAGUGUGAAGCUCUGAUGACGUUUGGGUUAUUUCAAGCUUUGAGUGAGGGAGAGUAAAAAUUGGCAGCAUUUUGAUACCUUUUUCUGUGUUUUUGUGAGGCAGUGAGAUGACUGAUUUAUAGGGAGUGGAAAUGAGGUGAGGAGGUUUCAAAUUCGUGUGAAAAUCUGUUAGUUUUUGCUCAAUAUAUUUCCUUCACUUGUGUGAUUUUUUGAGAGAUAGUGAGAUGGAGUUUUUAGGAUGAGGAUAAAGAGAAUCAUUCUGUUAGAGGGGUUUUCCUCAAACCAUGAAAUCAAGGGAUUUGGCGAAGGUGGUGAAACACGUUCAUUUGCAUUGCUGAG
rnacentral:lncRNA from 1 species